rnacentral:rRNA from 1 species
UACGGGGGGGGCGAGCGUUAAUCGGAAUUACUGGGCGUAAAGCGUGCGCAGGCGGUUCGUUGUGUCGGUGGUGAAAUCCCCGGGCUUAACCUGGGAAUGGCCAUGGAAACUGGCGAACUGGAGUGCGGCAGAGGGGGGUGGAAUUCCGCGUGUAGCAGUGAAAUGCGUAGAGAUGCGGAGGAACACCGAUGGCGAAGGCAGCCCCCUGGGCUAGCACUGACGCUGAGGAGCGAAAGCGUGGGGAGCGAACAGG